rnacentral:rRNA from 1 species
GACGAACGCUGGCGGCGUGCCUAAUACAUGCAAGUCGAACGCUGAAGGCGGAGCUUGCUUCUCUGGAUGAGUUGCGAACGGGUGAGUAACGCGUAGGUAACCUGCCUGGUAGCGGGGGAUAACUAUUGGAAACGAUAGCUAAUACCGCAUAAUAGUAGAUGUUGCAUGACAUUUUCUUAAAAGGUGCAGUUGCAUCACUACCACAUGGCCCUGCGUUGUAUUAGCUAGUUGGUGAGGUAACGGCUCACCAAGGCAACGAUACAUAGCCGACCUGAGAGGGUGAUCGGCCACACUGAGACUGAGACACGGCCCAGACUCCUACGGGAGGCAGCAGUAGGGAAUCUUCGGAGAUGGACGGAAGUCUGACCGAGCAACGCCGCGUGAGUGAAGAAGGGUUUCGGAUCGUAAAGCUCUGUUGUAAGAGAAGAACGAGUGUGAGAGUGGAAAGUUCACUCUGUGACGGUAUCUUACCAGAAAGGGACGGCUAACUACGUG